UAAGGAAUAUUGGUCAAUGGACGCAAGUCUGAACCAGCCAUGCCGCGUGAAGGAUGAAGGUCCUCUGGAUUGUAAACUUCUUUUAUCUGGGACGAAAACGGGAUUUUUAUCUCAAUUGACGGUACCAGAGGAAUAAGCACCGGCUAACUCCGUGCCAGCAGCCGCGGUAAUACGGAGGGUGCGAGCGUUAUCCGGAUUUACUGGGUUUAAAGGGUGCGUAGGUGGGCUUAUAAGUCAGUGGUGAAAGCCUGCAGCUUAACUGCAGAAUUGCCAUUGAUACUGUUAGUCUUGAGUACAGUUGAGGUAGGCGGAAUGUGUCAUGUAGCGGUGAAAUGCUUAGAUAUGACACAGAACACCGAUUGCGAAGGCAGCUUGCUAAGCUGUAACUGACGCUGAGGCACGAAAGCGUGGGGAGCAAACA
rnacentral:rRNA from 1 species